ensembl:snRNA U6 U6 spliceosomal RNA
GUGCUCACUACAGCAGCACAUACGCUAAAACUGGAACCAUACAGAGAAGAUCUGCAUGGCCCCUGUUCAAGGUUGACAUGCAAAGUCGUGAAGUGUCCCAUAUUUUU